rnacentral:rRNA from 1 species
CAAAGCUCCCUCAUUUNUUCCUCCAAUUCCUCCUCUUUUUAACAACCCAUUUUCCCCAGAGAGCAAUUCUAUAUUUAUAUAGAAAAUUUUAUGUUAAAACUAGUAAUAAGAAGCAAGCCCUUCUCUUUAAUGCAAACUUAAAUCAGUCAGGACCAUCCGCUGAUCUUUAACGCUUUUAAACCACCUGUAGUAACCCAUCAAGAAAACACUACCUCACUUAGCGUUAACCUGACACAAGAGCAUUCCAAGAAAGAUUAAAAGAAAAAGAAGGAACUCGGCAAACACCAGCCCCGCCUGUUUACCAAAAACAUCGCCUCUUGUUCAAUUAUAGGAGGUCCAGCCUGCCCAGUGACUUUGUUCAACGGCCGCGGUAUC